AUGAACGCUGGCGGCGUGCCUAAUACAUGCAAGUCGAGCGAACAGAUAAGGAGCUUGCUCCUUUGACGUUAGCGGCGGACGGGUGAGUAACACGUGGGUAACCUACCUAUAAGACUGGAAUAACUCCGGGAAACCGGGGCUAAUGCCGGAUAACAUUUAGAACCGCAUGGUUCUAAAGUGAAAGAUGGUUUUACUAUCACUUAUAGAUGGACCCGCGCCGUAUUAGCUAGUUGGUAAGGUAACGGCUUACCAAGGCAACGAUACGUAGCCGACCUGAGAGGGUGAUCGGCCACACUGGAACUGAGACACGGUCCAGACUCCUACGGGAGGCAGCAGUAGGGAAUCUUCCGCAAUGGGCGAAAGCCUGACGGAGCAACGCCGCGUGAGUGAUGAAGGUCUUCGGAUCGUAAAACUCUGUUAUUAGGGAAGAACAAAUGUGUAAGUAACUGUGCACGUCUUGACGGUACCUAAUCAGAAAGCCACGGCUAACUACGUG
rnacentral:rRNA from 1 species